AUGAAAAGGGAAGCCAGUAUCAAACCCAGAGCCGGCUUCAGGCCAAGAAGGGCCGCCAGGGUCAGCCUCUGCCAGGUCACCUACAGAGCGCAGCAGCCGCCCGCUACCGAGCCCGGCCUCCGCGCGCCCCCGGUUCCCGCCCGCAUUCCCGCCCCGCCCCGCCGCGCGCCCCCGGACUCGCCCCCAGAUUCUCGCCCGCGCUCCCGCCCCGGCCUGCCGCCCGUCGCAGACACCACCUCCCCUCAGCCGGCUCGUCACCCGGAUCCCCCAACAUCGUCGCGCCGCCCAACCAGAGGCAGAAAUACGCAGCCCAGCGCCGGCCACCGAGGCCCCAAGGAGACAGCGACCUGCGAGCACGCCUCCGGGCAGCGAAGGACAAAGAGCAGGGUGGCUCGGCAGAGAGCGCUUGCGCGAUGGAAUGUCGCGCAGAACUACCGCUCCCAGUGUGCUCUGCGGGACGCGCGCCCCGUCCGAUACGCAGACGCCCGAGAAAAGCGCACGUGGGGGAAGCCCCUGGAAGAAGCCCGUGGGAAAGUCCGUGGGAGAGCCCGUGGUUGGAACGGUGGGAGCAGCUGUAGGAGCAGCCGGCGGUGGAGCUGUGGGAACUGGAGGACCGUGGGAGGAGCCUUUGGAAGGAGCCUGGAGAAGAUCUCUUGGUCGCUCCAAGUGUCAUGGUUACUUUCCUUUCAGGUAAAUUUUCCAUUUUACAUCUACAAAACAAAGUCCCAUUAUCUCCGUGUUCUAUGGAAUUUCACUAUGUUCCUUCAAAUUCCCCAGCAAACUCCUUCACAAAGGCUCUGCUGUUACCCUCUCCAAGGCCCUUCAGGCUUUAAUAAUAUAUUCCAUGAGCUUCAAGCAUGUGGGAGGCCACUCUGAAUGAUUUGUGUUCUCAGUCCUGGAGUGAAGAAGCUUUGACACUACCUGGACAUUGCCCCGGUCCCGGAAGUUUGAGGAUGUGUCUUCAGACAUAGGUGUGUCGCCCCAUGGAUUGAGCUACACUCACCUGUUCCUUUGUGAUAUUACCCCUUUUCCCUGUUUCGGAUAGAAUGUAGAGAAUCAGAAGUAACUGUGUUACUAUUACUGUCCUUGAUGGAGUCUGCCUGCAAACAGGAUAUUCUGUCAAGGUAUAGAUAUGUAACAGCGGACAUGCUUGAAAACAAGGUGUCUGCUGUCCUUGGGAGGGUCUACUCGCAAACGAGAGGGUCCUUCAAGGUUUAGAUAAGGUAACAGUGGACAUGCUUGAAAACGAGAUGUCUGCUGUCCUUGGGAGGUCUUGCCUGCAAACGGGAUGUUCUGCCAAGUGGGCUAGGAGGGUGCUGAGAAAAAUUUUUUAUCUGUUCUAAACAAAGAGCAGAGCUCAGCAUACUCUAGGUCAAGAGUAGAUUAGCCAUGAGAAGUGGGUCACUUCUGAUUAGAAAGUACAACUUCUGUAUGCUAUGUUUAAUUAGCUGAAAGACCUGAUUUAUUAAUGUUGGAAGGCUGCCUUCUUUGUUCACAAUACUAUAAAAAGAUUGCUUGUACACAAUAAAGGACUUUUUUU
rnacentral:lncRNA from 1 species